rnacentral:sRNA from 1 species
ACUUGAUUUGCUGCAGGAGAGAUGGUUGCGAAGGAGAGCAAUGUCUCGAGCUUCUUGCAACUGAAGUUGCUAACACCAAUAGCCUUGGUGAGUCCUAGCCUUUGGCACUCCUCCAUCUCCUUCCACACUCCCUCCAUGUCCAUCAUCACAAGGUCAUCCUUGGAAUAUGUCAUUGACUCCGGAUCUUCAGCCAACCUCAUGCUCACCGGAAAGUGAAUCAGGUACAGAUCGAGAUACUCCAUCUGCAUCUUCCUACAAUAUUCGUACAAAUCAAAUCAACCACACAAGCCAAAUGCUUGAUCAUAUAUGCACCCUCUAUUUUUUUUAAUUUGCAGUUAUACUCACCGGAGCGCACGCCUAAGAGAUGGCAGGACAUGGCCGGGGUGCGCGUGGGCAACCCAUAGCUUGGACGUGAUGUAGAGCUCGUCCCGCGACGCGACGAGGCCGGCGCGCACCGCCUCCGCCACGGCGUCGCCGAGGAUGGCCUCCGUCUGGUACACGGCCGCCGUGUCGAAGUGCCGGUAGCCGGCCUCGAUGGCGCGCAGGACGACAUCCUUCACCGUCGACGGGUCGGUCGCGCCGAGCGGGAACGAAGCCGUGCCCAUGCCGACCCGCGGCAUCGGCUUGCCGGAGCUCAGAGCCGCCUCCGGCAUCAUCCCCCUCACAUGGUCAUGGGAUCG